rnacentral:lncRNA from 1 species
GGUAUGAUUGUGUGAAUUGCAAGAUGUGCAAUAAAACUAAGUUUGGGGUGGAAAUCUUGAAAGAGAAGGCAAGUGCAUAAUAAGAGAUCAUACAAAAAGAAAAAUAGUAUGUAUUUUCUUUAAAAGAAAAAAAAAGAAAAAAAAAGAAAAGAAAAACAAAAGAGAAAAAUGCACUUGCCGAGACUUAAGACUCUAACACAUAUAAAAUGCUCGGAAAAUUUGAGUAGAAAAAGAGUCAAAAGAGUGAAAUUAACCCCCAGAGUAUACGUGAUGCACGAGAAAAAGAGAAAGAAAAAUCACACAACAUGACUACCGAGUUCAAAACCCUUUGUUAUCCAAUUUUUUUGUUUAUCCCACCGUACCCAAGCCCCGUUACAACCUAAAAAG